GGAUGCGAUCAUACCAGCACUAACGUAUCAGAUCCCAUAUGAACUCCGAAAUUAAGCGUGCUUGGGCGAGAGUAGUACUAGGAUGUGUGACCCCCUGGGAAGUCCUCGUAUUGCAUCCC